AAGCGGCUAUAAGACAAACAAAACAUCGAGGCAUUUCUUCUGGGCCCCGCGUGAUCCGGCUCUCCGCGCUGCGUGGGAUCGGGCCAUUCCACGUCUGGACAAAAGGCUGUCAGACAAAUCGCGAGUGUGCGAUGUGCACUUCCACUGCCAGGACAUCUUGAAGACGUACACCCACGUUGUCAACGGGCAAAAGGUCGAAAUCGAUAGGGGUAAGUGGAGUCUUGUGCAAGGGAGUGUGCCCAAAGUUUUCCCCAACCUACCAUCGUAUCUUUCAAAGGCGCCAACGAAAAAAAGGAAGACGCCAGAUCGGGACAAGCUUGUGCUAGAGAGAUCUUCGAAUCAGUCAAGCUGUGAACCGCAAGAUUGUGCAGGAAAUUUUGACUUGACUUUGAAUGGCGGUGUUCUCACUUUGAAGGAUAUUGAAGACGCUUUCUCGCCGUCUACGAGUUGGCGUAGAAUUGUCGAUUGUGACGAGAGGGGUAGUUUUGUUGCCUUUUACGCGAUUAAGGCUGAACAAAGCACCCUGGUUAUUGAAAAAUGCGUCAUAGUCGCUCAAGAUAUGUCAGUGAGUGUGAGUGCUAAUGGUCGUGUGGCUAAAUCCUUUAAAGCUGUUGUCAUCGCCGUGUCACAGCUGACAGAUCUGCUCGCGCAUGUUGACACACUGCACGUGUGCCAGGGCUGUGAAAAAGUAUGCGCAGGAGGGCUGCUGUAUGAAGGAAGAAGCAGCUGCUGUGAAGUACUAACACAGAGCUCAAAUUGCAGCCGUUGCUCGAAGCUUAAACUUAGGAUGACCAGACAGGUGGGCCAGAAAGGUCGUAGGCAAAGGCAGCAGCAGCAGAAACUGAACAUUUUUCAAAAAAGAGCCGUGCGAGCAGCGUGUCGACGAAGUAAACUUUUGAACAAUGUGAAAGAGCUAAAAAAAAGCUGGAAUCAGAAUCCGACUACAACCUCAAAGAAGCACUGAGUGGGUUACCACCUAUUCAACAAGUUGCCAUUGAAAGUUCUCUAAAGCAAGCGAAGGCGAAAGCUCCUCAAGGCGCACGCUACAGCACAGCAUGGAUGAUGAAGUGCCUGCUCUUAAGGAUCGCGAGCCCAAAGGCAUACAGGCUUAUCAGGGCCAUGAAACUCUUGGCGUUGCCAACAUGUAGUCGACUUAACCAAAUUCUUUCUGGAAUGCCUUGUGAAUAUGGCUUUAACAAAGUUGCACUGGAGAGCAUUCAAGCCUAUUUUAAAGAAAAAGGAGGUACGUCCAACUAUGGGACCAUAUUAAUUGAUGAAAUUAAGCUUAGACAGGUCGUGGAAUUCAACCCAUCGACAUACAGCUUUGAUGGCUUUGUGAACUUUGCUGGAACAGCACCUGAUGAAAGUGGAAGAUUGGCAGAUCAUGCGCCUGUUGUGAUGUUUGUUCCUCUUUUUGAAUCCUGGGUUCAGCCUGUCGCCUCUUUUGCAACUAGAAGUGCAGCACCUGGUAUUGUGCUUUCAAAAAUGGUAUUGGAGUCAGUCCUUCAAUUAGAGCGUCACGGAGCUUCAAUUAUAGCAGUUGUAUCAGAUGGUGCAGGAAACAAUCGCUCCAUGUGGACACACCUAGGAAUCAGUGGAAAGCUCUACCACGCUACAAAGAAGAUCCAGCACCCGUCACUAAAAAAGGACAAUACUUGCACUUCUUAUGCGACGUCCCACAUGUGAUAAAAUGCAUCCGGAACCAUCUGCUGACCCACACCUAUGGCAUGGUAAGUGUUCACUUGUAUUUUACUAUAAAGGUAAUCAUACCAACAGGCAGCUCUUGAGUCUUGUCUGUAGUAUAUUCAUUAUGUGUGGAUAUAAGAUAUAACAUUUAAGAAAUGGUGUGAGCCCUCCUUUGUUGAUUCUCAACAUUUUUAUUCCUUCUCAGGCUGGCACACACAAAGUCAACUUCAACGACUACAAGUUACUUUACAAGACAGAGGAGGACAGACAACUGAAAGAUGUGCCCAAGCUGACAACAUGUCAUGUUAAUCCAAGCAACCUGAAAAAAAUGAAUGUCAAACUUGCGACGCAAGUAUGUAUUUAAUUUUUCUUUUUUCGAUUAUGGUACAUAAGCACAAUACAUUGUCAUUUGCUUUCACAGUUUUAAAAAAAGAGCGCGCAUGCUGAAUUGCAUGUGACUUUGCAUUUGAAGGCCCACUAAGUUGCAAUGCCCCUCUUCGCAUUUCAGCUUUUCAGCAGAAGUGUUGCUAUCGGCAUGAACAUCUACAGGGAGCAAAAGACACCUGGUUUUCAGGAUACCCAAGGCACGGAGAAAUUCACCCUACUGAUCAACGACUUGUUCGACGCCCUGAAUGCACGAAUACCAGUUGAGGGUAUUCGAAAAGACUCUCCGAAAAUCCAAGUGAUAAAGGAGUUUCUUCAGAUGCUCAAUGCAACAUAAAGGCAUUGCAGAGACAACAAUAGAAAAAUGUUCACUUCCCAGAUGACAGCCGAGUCUUUGCGUGUCACACUACUGUCGGUCCUUGACAUCAUCCAGCUUCUCCACAGCGAAGGAGUGUCGUAUGUGCUCACUGCCAAACUAAAUCAGGACCCACUUGAGCGCUUCUUUGGCGUUGUGCGAAACUUUGGGGGUGAUGAAGAUCACCCGAAAAUCACCGGCUUCAGCCAAGUGUUUCGGCUCCUUAGCUUGCACACUCCGCUAAAGAUGGCAACGAGAGGAAAUUGCUCGGGGGCUGCGGAUCCUGUCCUUAUAUCACUGGAGAAGACUCUAAGCAAGAAGAAGAUGUCAGCCCUGGUCGAAAAACAAGAUAGAAAUGAGAAACUUGACAGCCUUUUGAAAUCUAUCACCCUUCAAAAAUGUGCUGUGCGUGUUCCAGAACAUGACUACAACCAUCCAUCUGCUCAAGACGCUGUACUAUAUUACCUUGCAGGCUAUGUAGCCAAGAAAGCUUUGAAGUUUUCCACAUGUAUGCAGUGCCAAGCUACUACCACGGACGUGCACUGUGUGCCUCCAGCAGCUGCUUUAACUGAAAAGAGGUCGUUUGUCCCUGGCGCUUUGAAGCACCCUUCCCAACCACUUGUAAAGCUGCUGGCAGAUAUCGAACCCGUCAUAGAAAAAGAAACAAAAACUGGAAAGGUUUUUGGCAGUCUCUUUUGGUCUAUUGUAGACCUGCUAUCUAAUCGGUCACUUGUGCAACUAGGCUGUGAUAUGCAUUCCGAAGAAUUUACAGUAAAGAUAAUCAAGUUUUACUUGAUAAUGCGCAUGCAUUUUUACACUAGGCACCUUGCGGAAAGAAGCCAAAUCAGUGAGCAAGUCAAGAAUGCCAGA
rnacentral:lncRNA from 1 species